rnacentral:rRNA from 1 species
AUUGAACGCUGGCGGAAUGCUUAACACAUGCAAGUCGGAGCGGGGGUGUAGCAAUACACCUAGCGGCGGACGGGUGAGGAAUACAUAGGAAUCUGCCUCAGAGCGGGGGGACAGCCCGGGGAAACCCGGAUUAAUACCGCAUGAUGUCGCAAGACCAAAGUGGGGGACCGCAACGGCCCCACACUCUGAGAUGAGCCUAUGUCCGAUUAGCUAGUUGGCGGGGUAAUAGCCCACCAAGGCGACGAUCGGUAGCUGGUCUGAGAGGACGACUCAGCC